rnacentral:rRNA from 1 species
UACGGGGGGCAAGCGUUGUUCGGAAUUACUGGGCGUAAAGGGCUCGUAGGCGGCCAACUAAGUCAGACGUGAAAUCCCUCGGCUUAAACCGGGGAACUGCAUCUGAUACUGGAUGGCUUGAGUUUGGGAGAGGGAUGCGGAAUUCCAGGUGUAGCGGUGAAAUGCGUAGAUAUCUGGAGGAACACCGGUGGCGAAGGCGGCAAUCCUGGACCAACACUGACGCUGAG